UGUGAUACUAAACAAAAUCAUGAGAAGCAAGUGUCAAACUUAAUUACACUCAGAUUACGCAAUGCACUUACAUCGUGAGAGAGAGUGAGACAGAAAUAGUUUUAUUCGCGGAGCAGUUGAUCACAGUGCUGUUUACGGCGCGACUUUGAGAUUUGAAUCACCCCCCACCACCGGACAUGCAAGACCUGUGUGUAAGAACGUGGUGCCGCGCAUAAAUGAAGAAGACGACAAAGAAAAAGUUUGUGGGUUGCCGUAGCCCAGUGGAUAGGGUAGCGGAUUCACGACCGAAAGGUUGGAGGUCGCGCCCAGCUUUCAGCGGCAUUCACCGAUGGGUUUUCAUAUGAAAACUUAAAAACUUUGUAGGUUCCCUCACGCUGAGUUAAAUAAGGCCCGUCUCGCAAGGUACAUCGCCAUCUAUUGUCGAACUUCCAACCUUGAUUAUUAGGACCAGUUACUGGCACAUGUCCCCCAUUGGGGAUAUAGCCAUAAGGAAAGGAAGGAAGGAAAAAAAAGUUUGUCUCCUUAUUAUUGGACUAUGCAAGAGGAAUCUUUUGCCCUCUUUCUUGGACAAAUCACGAUUUCGAUAUUAAUAUCAUUUCACUAAAAUCACAAAAUCUCUUAUUGGUUCAACUUGUUUCCAAGAGAUACUUGCCCUCUUGUCACAUUUGCUGCACUUAUUAAUAAAUUAACUAAAAAAUGGAAACCAAUUGGAAAUUCAUACUUCAAGAAAGUGAAACUCAUUACUAUUGUGUUAUUUGUGGCUGUGAAAUCUCUGGUAGUCGAAAUGCAGAAGGCCACUUCAGAGGAAGAUACCAUGCAGAUGCUAUAGAGGAGUAUGGAGACGAUAUCUCAUACAGUGGAGAUAACCAAUAUUACUGCCAGUUAUGCGACUGCUAUAUUUCUGGGUAUCAAAAUGUUAGAGUCCACUUUAGGGGAAAACAGCAUCAGGGUUGCCUGUAUGGAUCAGAUACCGAGUCAUCAGAAGAUGACAGUGAGGAUUAUGUUGCAUUGAGUUCACGUGAUUUCAUUAUUGACUAUAGCGAUAAUAGUUAUAUGUUCUACUGUUGUCUAUGUAAUAUCAAUAUUACUAACAUGUGGCAUAUACCCUCACAUUUGGGGUGCCAGAACCAUAAAAUAGCUGUAACAAUAUAUGGUUCUGACAUUCUUGGCAAUGGAAGCACUUGGUAUUACUGCAGAUUAUGUGAUUGUUCGAUUAAUAGCUAUAAAAAUGUCUAUGAACAUAUAACAGGACGGCGACAUGACAAUUUUCUGGACGAAUUGGAAUAAGAUAUCGAAUAUUUGGAUGAUGACGGAUUAGAAAGUAUUAUAAAAAGCUUGAGUACGUACUGUGCAUUAAUGUUACAACUGUGAUUAUUCUGACCUCAGAUACAUUGAUAAUAAUAUAUUAAAGAUACAAGUUAA